rnacentral:rRNA from 1 species
GCAGUCGAGCGGACAGAUGGGAGCUUGCUCCCUGAUGUUAGCGGCGGACGGGUGAGUAACACGUGGGUAACCUGCCUGUAAGACUGGGAUAACUCCGGGAAACCGGGGCUAAUACCGGAUGGUUGUCUGAACCGCAUGGUUCAAACAUAAAAGGUGGCUUCGGCUACCACUUACAGAUGGACCCGCGGCGCAUUAGCUAGUUGGUGAGGUAACGGCUCACCAAGGCGACGAUGCGUAGCCGACCUGAGAGGGUGAUCGGCCACACUGGGACUGAGACACGGCCCAGACUCCUACGGGAGGCAGCAGUAGGGAAUCUUCCGCAAUGGACGAAAGUCUGACGGAGCAACGCCGCGUGAGUGAUGAAGGUUUUCGGAUCGUAAAGCUCUGUUGUUAGGGAAGAACAAGUGCCGUUCAAAUAGGGCGGCACCUUGACGGUACCUAACCAAAAAGCCACGGCUAACUACGUGCCACCACCCGCGGUAAUACGUAGGUGGCAAGCGUUGUCCGGAAUUAUUGGGCGUAAAGGGCUCGCAGGCGGUUUCUUAAGUCUGAUGUGAAAGCCCCCGGCUCAACCGGGGAGGGUCAUUGGAAACUGGGGAACUUGAGUGCAAAAAAGGAGAGUGGAAUUCCACGUGUAGCGGUGAAAUGCGUAAAGAUGUGGAGGAACACCAGUGGCGAAGGCGACUCUCUGGUCUGUAACUGACGCUGAGGA